GACGAACGCUGGCGGCGUGCCUAAUACAUGCAAGUGGAACGCAUUGGUAACACCGGACUUGCUCCAGUGUUACUAAUGAGUCGUGAACGGGUGAGUAACGCGUAGGUAACCUGCCUGAUAGCGGGGGAUAACUAUUGGAAACGAUAGCUAAUACCGCAUAAGAGGAGUUAACUCAUGUUAACUGUUUAAAAGAAGCAAUGGCUUCACUAUCAGAUGGACCUGCGUUGUAUUAACUAGUAGGUAGGGUAACGGCCUACCUAGGCAACGAUACAUAGCCGACCUGAGAGGGUGAACGGCCACACUGGGACUGAGACACGGCCCAGACUCCUACGGGAGGCAGCAGUAGGGAAUCUUCGGCAAUGGACGCAAGUCUGACCGAGCAACGCCGCGUGAGUGAAGACGGUUUUCGGAUCGUAAAGCUCUGUUGUAGGGGAAGAACGUGUGUAAGAGUGGAAAGCUUACACAG
rnacentral:rRNA from 1 species